AAUCAACGCUGGCGGCGUGCCUCAGACAUGCAAGUCGAACGUGAAAGUUUCCUUCGGGAGCGAGUAGAGUGGCGCACGGGUGAGUAACACGUAGGUGAUUUACCUUUGGGUGGAGAAUAACAGUCGGAAACGAUUGCUAAUACUGCAUAAUGCAGCGGCUCGACAUCGAGACAGUCGUUAAAGUAGGGUUGAAAGACCUUAUGCCUAAAGAAAGCCUGCGGCAGAUUAGCUAGAUGGUAAGGUAAUGGCUUACCAUGGCGACGAUCUGUAGCCGGCCUGAGAGGGCGGUCGGCCACACUGACACUGAAUAACGGUCAGACUCCUACGGGAGGCAGCAGUCGGGAA
rnacentral:rRNA from 1 species